UAAGACAGAGGGGGCAAGCGUUGCUCGGAAUCACUGGGCGUAAAGGGCGCGUAGGCGGGAUGGCAAGUCGGUCGUGAAAUCCCUCGGCUCAACCGAGGAACGUCGGCCGAUACUGCCGUUCUUGAGGGAUGCAGAGGAGACUGGAAUUCCCGGUGUAGCGGUGAAAUGUGUAGAGAUCGGGAGGAACACCGGUGGCGAAGGCGGGUCUCUGGGCAUUUCCUGACGCUGAGGCGCGAAAGCGUGGGGAGCAAACGGGAUUAGAUACCCCGGUAGUCC
rnacentral:rRNA from 1 species